GAUGAACGCUGGCGGCGUGCUUAACACAUGCAAGUCGAACGGUGAAAGAGAGCUUGCUCUCUGGAUCAGUGGCGAACGGGUGAGUAACACGUGAGCAAUCUGCCCCUGACUCGGGGAUACGCGCUGGACACGGCGACUAAUACCGGAUACGAGCUGCGAAGGCAUCUUCAGCAGCUGGCAAGAACUUCGGUCAGGGAUGAGCUCGCGGCCUAUCAGCUAGUUGGUGUGGUAACGGCUAACCAAGGCGGCGACGGGUAGCCGGCCUGAGAGGGUGACCGGCCACACGAGGACUGAGGCACGGCCCAGACUCCAACUGGGGGCAGCGGUGGGGAAUAUUGCACAAUGGGCGAAAGCCUGAUGCAGCAACGCCGCGUGAGGGACGACGGCUUUCGGGUUGUAAACCUCUUUUAGCAGGGAAGAAGCGAAAGUGACGGUACCUGCAGAAAAAGCACCGGCUAACUACGUG
rnacentral:rRNA from 1 species